GACGAACGCUGGCGGCAGGCCUAACACAUGCAAGUCGAGCGAGCGGCGGACGGGUGAGUAAUGUCUGGGAAACUGCCUGAUGGAGGGGGAUAACUACUGGAAACGGUAGCUAAUACCGCAUACCAUCAGAUGUGCCCAGAUGGGAUUAGCUAGUAGGUGGGGUAACGGCUCACCUAGGCGACGAUCCCUAGCUGGUCUGAGAGGAUGACCAGCGAAACUGGAACUGAGACACGGUCCAGACUCCUAGGGUAGGAAGCAGUGGGGAAUAUUGCUCAAUGGGCGCAAGCCUGAUGCAGCCAUGCCGCGUGUAUGAAGAAGGCCUUCGGGUUGUAAAGUACUUUCAGCGGGGAGGCGUUACCCGCAGAAGAGGCACCGGCUAACUCCGUGCCAGCAGCCGCGGUAAUA
rnacentral:rRNA from 1 species